AGAUGGCUCCCACGUCCAAGGAUGGCAGCAGGCGCGAAAAUUGUCCACUCUUUUGAGAGGAGACAGUUAUGAAACGUGAGUAGAAGGGUCGAGUGUAAAAACCUUGACGUGAAGCAAUUGGAGGGCAAGUUUUGGUGCCAGCAGCCGCGGUAAUUCCAACUCCAAGAGUGUCUAUGGUGGAUGCUGCAGUUAAAGGGUCCGUAGUCGUAGAUGCAAUUAAAAGGUGGUGUUAAAAGCCAUUGAGUUUGUUGAGAGUAGCGGAACGGAUAGGGAGCAUGGUAUAGGUGGGCAAAGAAUGAAAUCUCAAGACCCCACCUGGACCAACGGAGGCGAAAGCGAUGCUCUUAGACGUAUCUGGGGAUCAAGGACGAAGGCUAGAGUAUCGAAAGUGAUUAGACACCGCUGUAGUUCUAGCAGUAAACUAUGCCGACAAUGCUGGGUGUUGCGAGAGCGAUGCUUGGUGUGGGAGAAAUCUUAGUUUUCGGGCUCUGGGGAUAGUACGCUCGCAAGGGUGAAACUUAAAGCGAAAUUGACGGAAGGACACUACCAGGAGUGGAUUGUGCUGCUUAAUUUAACUCAACGCGGGAAAACUUACCAGGGUCAAGUCUAUCGUAGAUUGGAGACAUGAGGUAGACAAGAGUGGUGCAUGGCCGUUGGAAAUUGAUGGGGCGACUUUUAGCUUAAGUGCUGGAACCAGUGAGAUCUUCUAGACAGGUGUUAUUUAGGCACAGGAGGGAGAAGGCAAUAACAGGUCCGUGAUGCCCUUAGAUAUCCUGGGCAGCAAGCGCAAUACAAUAUCUCUUGAGAAGACAAAGCAAUUUGAGAUGAGUAGGAUUAGCUUUUGUAAAUAAGCUAUGAAUGAGGAAUUCCUAGUAACAGUGUCUCAUCAAGGCAUUGUGAAUGUGUCCCUGUUCUUUG
rnacentral:rRNA from 1 species